UACGUAGGUGGCAAGCGUUGUCCGGAAUUAUUGGGCGUAAAGCGCGCGCAGGCGGAUCAGUCAGUCUGUCUUAAAAGUUCGGGGCUUAACCCCGUGAUGGGAUGGAAACUGCUGAUCUAGAGUAUCGGAGAGGAAAGUGGAAUUCCUAGUGUAGCGGUGAAAUGCGUAGAUAUUAGGAAGAACACCAGUGGCGAAGGCGACUUUCUGGACGAAAACUGACGCUGAGGCGCGAAAGCCAGGGGAGC
rnacentral:rRNA from 1 species